rnacentral:misc_RNA from 1 species
GAUGAAGAACGUAGCGAAAUGCGAUAAGUAGUGUGAAUUGCAGAAUUCAGUGAAUCAUCGAAUCUUUGAACGCACAUUGCGCCCCUUGGUAUUCCAUGGGGCAUGCCUGUUCGAGCGUCAUUUGUACCUUCAAGCUCUGCUUGGUGUUGGGUGUUUGUCUCGCCUCUGCGUGUAGACUCGCCUUAAAACAAUUGGCAGCCGGCGUAUUGAUUUCGGAGCGCAGUACAUCUCGCGCUUUGCACUCAUAACGACGACGUCCAAAAGUACAUUUUUACACUCUUGACCUCGGAUCAGGUAGGGAUACCCGCUGAACUUAAGAAUAUCAAUAAGCGGAGGA